UACGUAGGGGGCGAGCGUUGUCCGGAAUUACUGGGCGUAAAGAGCGCGUAGGCGGCUCGAUAAGUUCUGUGUGAAAGCCCCCGGCUCAACUGGGGAGGGUCGCGGAAAACUGUCGGGCUGGAGUGUCGGAGAGGGAAGUGGAAGUCCCGGAGUAGGGGUGAAAUCCGUAGAGACCGGGCCGAACACCAGUGGCGAAGGCGACUUCCUGGCCGACGACUGACGCUGAGGCGCGAAAGCGUGGGAGCGAACGGG
rnacentral:rRNA from 1 species